UGGAAGUGGUUUACUCCAGAGAGAAUUUGUGUUUGUCUCUGUAAGAAAAUAAAAUUUCAUCGUGCCAAGGGGAAACGUUAAGCUCUAGAAGUGGAAUCAUAUAACUUGGCUGUUUUUCUUCUCUGAGGAGGCAGUCCAGAUACUCACAUUGCCAAACUGAAAUCCUGGAGCAGAGUUUCUACAACUGUGAG
rnacentral:lncRNA from 1 species